rnacentral:rRNA from 1 species
UGGGGAAUUUUGCACAAUGGGGGAAACCCUGAUGCAGCGACGCCGCGUGAUUUAGAAGGCCUUCGGGUUGUAAAAAUCUUUUGUAUAGGAAGAAAAUGACAGUACUAUACGAAUAAGGACCGGCUAAUUACGUGCCAGCAGCCGCGGUAAUACGUAAGGUCCGAGCGUUGUCCGGAAUCAUUGGGCGUAAAGGGUACGUAGACGGAAAUGCAAGUCAGGUGUAAAAGGCAGUAGCUUAACUACUGUAAGCAUUUGAAACUGCAUAUCUUGAGAAGAGUAGAGGUAAGUGGAAUUUUUAGUGUAGCGGUGAAAUGCGUAGAUAUUAAAAAGAAUACCGGUGGCGAAGGCGACUUACUGGGCUCAUUCUGACGCUGAGGAACGAAAGCGUGGGUAGCAAACAGG